AUGAGAAUUAGUUUGUACGCCGACGACGCGGUCAUCUUUGCAAACCCUAGCAAAGAGGAGGUCGAUUCGCUAUUAGAUAUUCUUCAACCCUUCGAUGAAGUGAUAGACCUAAGACUAAACCAGGAAAAAUCUAUGGUGGCUCCAAUUAGGUGUGAUGGUCUAAACCUUGAUGAUAUUCUUCAAAAUUUUGGUGGAACAAUAGUUGGCUUCUCCAUGACAUACUUAGGUCUUCCGAUCUCCACGAGUAGGAUUAGGAUAGUCCAUCUUUAGUUCAUCCUCGAUAGAAUUAGAUCAAGGAUCGUGGGAUGGAAGGGGAAGCUCAUGAACAUGGUCGGGAGAAGGGUUCGCGUGCGGAUUGUGCUCUCUGCUAUGCCAACGUUCGCCUUGACUGUCCCCCGACCGCUGAAAAAGAUUCUGAAAGACAUAGACAAGACCAAGCGCAAAUUUUAA
rnacentral:rRNA from 1 species